UUGAUGGCUACAAAUGAGCAAAGAAUAUCUGGUUCCAGGUGUCUGGUACUCCCGGCAAACACCAAUGAAUACAAUCUGCAUGCCUCAAUGGAUCAUUCUUUUGCUCUUCCGUCAACAGUUCUCCCCCAGUCUCUGUAUAAACCGAUGUGUGAGCAUCAAUUCGGUACUCUGAAAUCUGUGUUAUGUUGAUAAACGUAACGGGAACUUUCAUCUUCCCAACUACACUUGCCACUACGCUCAUCAUUUGCUUAUUUGAACCGCUUCCCCAGUGCUUCUUCUUCAUCACUGGUAUUGUUUCAUUGAAACAUUUGAUUCCUUCCUUGUUCCCCCAAUCCUGGCUUCUGCAAUUUGGUACCAAAGUUGAGUUACUAAUGGUUGCCCACCAACUGUUUGUGUUUUUUCCUCUGAGAAAAUGAGAAUAAUGAGAGAGAGAGAGAGAGAGAUGAACCUUGUGUGUGUAGGGGACAUGGUAGUGAACAAGACUCUGGUUUUGUUGGGAUUUAUAGUUGAGUCGACCCAGUUGGCCCACGUCUUCAAUCCUAUUCUAUAAGCUACAGGUGUAUCUAGUUCCUCGAACCCUUCGUUCCCAUUUGCAAAAGAACCCCAUCUGCUCUUAAUUUUAAAUAAUUGUUACCGAUUAAUCCUUAAUUAUAUAUACAAGUGAAGAUGUGUUUUGUUUGAAGUAUUAGAAUAGGGAACUUACAGUGAGUUGAUUCUAAGGCCACUCAUCCACCAGACAUAAGUAUUGAAGAUAAGAAUAUCCACUCCUAUCCAGUUUUUGGCAUGCCUGGCUACUGAAUCCACUUUCAAUAUUCUCUUCUUUGGAUCUGCUAUUAUGGGUUGAUCAGAAUUUGAUUCCACUAGAAAUGGAGCCCAGUAAAAUUCAAUACUCGUAUUGUAUUCCUGAGGAAGAAGAAGAUGAUGAUGAUGAUGAUUGAUCACUAAUUCUAGUUUAUUUAUUUCUCUUAUUUAUGCUGUUAUAUUUUUGCAUUCCAUUUUGUGAAUUAACUUUCUUUGUAGUAAAUCUUACUGUGUGUUAUAUUGUUUUCUACAGGAGGCACAGCAAAGAAUGAUGAGCACAAAAAUCACCGGUAUGCUAGUUUUAGAGACAUGGUAAUUUACUAAUAUUGCAUACACUUUGCAGUAAUUUAUUAGUAACUUGUAUAGUAAUCAGUACUAAAUAAAUAACAGGAUAAUGUUAGGGACCAUAGGAUAUAUUUUAGCAAUUCGAUAACACAAUGUUUUGGUAAUUACUACUCUAAAAUAUUAAACAAUUAGCUCUCUUGGUAAUUCAACAAGUCUUUUCAAGGUAAAGUUGUAAGGUAUAACUAGCUCUCUUUUGCCUAAAUAAGUUAUUCGGAAGUUCAGUCUUUAUACCUUGGCUUUGAAGACUGAAUGGAAGCGUCCUCUUUUCAUAGAUUUCCCUUCUUUAGGUAUAAUGAAUUCAACUAAACAAACAAAAGAUUGCCAUUGACCUCUUUGUAGCGAAUCACCCACAAACAUUAGUCUCUUCCCCCUAAGUUUCUUCAAAGCAACUUCUGGAUUAAAUCUGCAUAGAAACAUACAUUACAUGCAACUUUUUGAUAAAUACUUUACACAUACGCUUGUACUGUAGUAAUUUCCCUCUAAAAAGCAAUUUCUAGAUUAAAUCUGCAUAUGAAACGUAUAUUGCAUGGAACUGUUUGAUAAAUAUUUAUACAUAUAUAUACACCUAUACUAUUUUAGAACAUGCAUUUGUAUCAAAACCUUGGUAAGGUGCAGUCCUCUGGCUGCCAUUCCCAGUGACGGUAAUCAGAAUCUUGCCUUCCAUUUUUGACACAAGCAACUUGCCUAUCUAGAUAAGGACAACUUCUGUCUGAGUACAGAGGCUUAAUGGACCUAUUAAAGACCCACUUCCCAUUAGCAACAUUGCACUCUUCAGGGUCAAAAUCGAACCUAUCGUCUACUACUUUGGAGUUUUCCAUGUUAUCCUCUGCAAGUUUUUAAUAAUCUUUUGUGAGAGAAUGACAACUAACCAAUAUUCAUCAUUAAAAUCAUAUAUAUACAUAUAUAUUGCUAAUUAGAUUGAAAUAGGAAAAGAAUGUAUACAUACGUUUGGUAGAUUUUGCGAAAGCAUCUUUUUUAGAACAGGAUUUGAUCUUGAAAAUGGAGUUGGAAGAAAGCGGGCUAAUUCUCUCUGUAUAAAAGAGAGCAACGAAUGCAAAGCUGCAGAUGAGAAGAGUCAUGAUAGAGA
rnacentral:lncRNA from 1 species